AGGGAAAAAUAUACAGGUAACUCUCGAUUUACGCGAGUAUUGUGUCCUUGAAGAGGUCGCGUAAAUCAAAAACAAUGUAAAUCAAACAAGAGGUAGGUUUUUAUCGAAAAAUAAAUAUUCACAUUGGUGGGCACCGAUCACUUUUUUGCUGUUCUGAUCCCCGAUCAUCCGAUCAGUUUGGGCAACUGAUCCGAUUCCGAUCAUCCAAUCAUUUUAAGUACUGCUGUUCCGAUCACCAUUCCGAUCAUCCGAUCAUUAAAACUUAUACAGGUAACUCUCGAUUUACGCGAGUUUGGUUUACACGUUUUUGAAAUAACGCGGGGUCCAAAAUCCCAAUAAAUGUUUAAUUUACGUUUUUUUUCACUUAUACGCAAUAUUUUAUGGAGUGGCCACUAGAUGUCUCAUGCAACUGGACUCACACGGUUCUUCCCGCGCGCCACUUGAACAACAAUACAGUACCCACGCUACCACGCUACUCAACAAUAGGGGUGUGCAGGUACCGGUACCAGCUAUACGGUACAGUACCGGUACCAGACUGCUCAGUACCGUUACCAAUACUAGCCAGUCGCUCAUGAUGUCCCUCAUUUCUUCCUCACACGAGUGAGGCUGAGAUUGUGUGCCUGAGUGGAUAUCUUAGUGAUAUGGAUAUUCUCUCUCUCUCUCUCCACUGAAUGAAUAUCUAUUUUUCGAUAGAAACCUACCUCUUGUUUGAUUUACAUUGUUUUUGAUUUAUGCGACCUCUUCAAGGACACAAUACUUGCGUAAAUCGAGUUACCUGUAAUAAUUACAAUUUUUUUAAAAAUAAUAAUUACAAGAAACACCUAGUUUAGGCGUUCCUUUAGUAAUAAUUUGAAAUAAGUAAUAACUUAAUUUUUUUUUUUUUUUUUACAACAUAGGAGGCAGCUCAAGGGCACACACAAAAAAGAAAACAAUAAUAAAAAAAAAGCCCGCUACACGCUGCUCACAAAAAAAAAAAAAAAAAAGAAAAAAAAAAAAGAGAUGGCCGAAAGGAAGAUCAAACUCAGGAGGAGAGGUGUCCUGAUACCCUCCUCUUGAAAGAGUUCAAGUCGUAGGCAGGAGGAAAUACAGAUGAAGGAAGAGUGUUCCAGAGUUUACCAGCGUGAGGGAUGAAAGAGUGAAGAUGCUGGUUAACUCUUGCAUAAGGGGUGUGGACAGUCUAGGGAUGAGCAUGAGUAGACAGUCGAGUGCAGCGGGGCCGCGGGAGGGGGGGAGGCAUGCAGUUAGCAAGUUCAGAAGAGCAGUCAGCGUGGAAAUAUCGAUAGAAGAUAGAGAGGCAACAUUGUGGCGGAAUGUAAGAGGUAGAAGACUAUCAGUAUGAGGAGGAGAGCUGAUGAGACGAAGAGCCUUAGCCUCCACUCUGUCCAGAAGAGCUGUGUGAGUGGAGCCCCCCCACACAUGAGAUGCAUACUCCAUACGAGGGCGGACAAGGCCCCUGUAUAUGGACAGCAACUGUGCAGGAGAGAAGAACUGGCGGAGACGGUACAGAACGCCCAACCUCGAGGAAGCUGAUUUAGUAAGAGAUGAGAUAUGAAGUUUCCAGUUGAGAUUUUGAGUUAAGGAUAGACCGAGGAUGUUUAGUGUUGAGGAAGGUGAUAGCUGGGUGUUGUCAAAGAAUAGGGGAUAGUUGUUUGGAAGAUUGUGUCGAGUGGAUAGGUGGAGAAACUGUGUUUUUGAGGCGUUGAAGAACACCAGGUUCUUCUUGCCCCAAUCGGAAAUAAUAGUAAGGUCUGAGGCUAAGCGUUCUGCAGCCUCCAGUCUUGAGUCGUUAAGUUCCUGAAGGGUGGGUCUUCUAUUAAAAGAAGUUGAGUAAUGCAGAGUGGAAUCAUCGGCGUAGGAAUGGAUAGGACAGUUCGUUUUGGAAAGAAGAUCAUCAAUGAACAACAGAAAAAGAGUGGGAGAUAGGACACAACCCUGUGGGACACCACUGUUAAUAGAUUUAGGGGAAGAACAGUGACCGUCUACCACGGCAGAAAUAGAACGGUCAGAAAGGAAACUGGAGAUAAAGGUACAGAGAGAAGGAUAGAAACCGUAGGAGGGUAGUUUAGAAAGCAAAGAUUUGUGCCAGACCCUAUCAAAAGCUUUUGAUAUGUCCAGCGCAAUAGCAAAAGUUUCACCGAAACGGCUAAGAGAGGAUGACCAAGAGUCAGUUAAGAAGGCUAGGAGAUCACCAGUAGAACGCCCCUUGCGGAACCCAUACUGGCGAUCAGAUAGAAGGUCAGAAGUGGAAAGGUGCUUUUGAAUCUUCCGGUUAAGGAUUGAUUCAAAAGCUUUAGAUAGACAAAAAAGUAAAGCUAUAGGACGGUAGUUUGAGGGAUUGGAGCGGUCACCCUUCUUAGGUACAGGCUGUAUGAAGGCAUACUUCCAGCAAGAAGGAAAGGUAGAUGUUGACAGGCAGAGGCAAAAGAGUUAUAAAUAUCUUUAUUUUUCCUCUUUCUUUUGGUAUACAGGACAUGGUAAAGAAAAAAUGUUAUCUUAACUUCUUAUUUUAGGCAUUUAUUUAAGUCUAGUCUUUUUAUUCAAUUUCUGAAAGUUUGAAAAAGGAAUUAUGAUUGCUAUUUUAGCUUUUGUUUGAAGUUGAUUUAGAUUUUUGACAAAUAUUUUUCAACUUUUUAAUAUUUUAUCAUCGAUGUCUAGGAAAUAUUUUUUACUAUUCUAUAAUAAACGAGCGAUAGUGAUCAUUAAUCUCCUAUCCUUCCUGAUUAAAUAGCUUUCUGAAUAAAAGAUAUUGGUCCAUAAAUAAAUUAGUUACAAGAACAUAAGCAAUAAGGUUUUGAUUUUAAGUGAGCCGGUGUUGUGUCAUCUGCCAUCCACGUAUCCUAAGACAUCCCAACCUGAUCUGCGCAUGCGUGGACCCCGAUGUUUACAAACACAGUGUUGAUAUUGUAGUUUGUCCACGCAAGAUGGCGGCAAGACAGCAUGGCAGAUUUUAUGGGAAAAUGGCCAAAUUAAAAAAUGACAUGGACCCCAUAAUUCAGAUAGCCUGCCAUUAAAUGGACAGAAUCUGAGAAACAUGACCAUCAAUCAGAAGAGAGUGUGGGUUAUCUCAUUUAUCACAUUUACCAACAUACAAGGGGUGUAGGUUAUCUCAUUUAUCACAUUUACCGACAUACAAGGGGUGUAGGUUAUCUCAUUUAUCACAUUUACUGACAUACAAGGGGUGUAGGUUAUCUCAUUUAUCACAUUUACUGACAUACAAGGGGUGUAGGUUAUCUCAUUUAUCACAUUUACUGACAUACAAGGGGUGUAAGUUAUCUCAUUUAUCACAUUUACUGACAUACAAGGUUUCAGGUUACCUCAUUUAUCACAUUUACCUACAUACAAGGGGUUUAGGGUAUCUCAUUUUUCACAUUUACUGACAUACAAGGAUAGGAGGUGGCUGAGUGAUUAGUGUGCGGGGCCAGCAUUCAUCACGCCAUGGACAAAGUCAAUUCGAAUUCCCACGCUACCACCUGGUAUUUUUUAGUCAUCGCCGAGUGGCCUAAGACUACUCACUGGCUGUCCAGAAGACCACCUAUCAUCCCGGAUUCUAGAAGAAACCGUAGAAGUGAAUUAAAAAUGAGUUCCAGGGGGCAGCAUAAGCCAAGAAUAACUAGUGACACUAUGAAAAUUGCCUGCGCCAUGACGAGCUUGGGCCGACCACCAGGCCCCUGAAGAAAGCCUACCGGCGCUAUGGGCUGAGAUGUAAACAAAAAAAAAGUUACCUCAUUUAUCACAUUUACCAACAUACAAGGUGUGUAGGGUACCUCAUUUAUCACAUUUACCGACAUACAAGGGUUGUAGGGUACCUCAUUUAUCACAUUUACCGACAUACAAGGGUUGUAGGGUACCUCAUUUAUCACAUUUACCGACAUACAAGGGGUGUAGGGUACCUCAUUUAUCACAUUUACCGACAUUCAAUGGGUGUAGAGUAUCUCAUUAAUCACAUUUACCGAGAUACAAGGGGUGUAGGUUAUCUCAUUUAUCACAUUUACUGACAUACAAGGGGAGCAGGUUAUUUCAUUUAUCACAUCUACCAACAUACAAGGGGAGCAGGUUAUCUCAUUUAUCACAUAUACCGACAUACAAGGGGAGCAGGUUAUCUCAUUUAUCACAUAUACCGACAUACAAGGGGAGCAGGUUAUCUCAUUUAUCACAUAUACCGACAUACAAGGGGUGCAGGUUAUCUCAUUUAUCACAUUUACCGACAUACAAGGGGAGCAGGUUAUCUCAUUUAUCACAUAUACCGACAUACAAGGGGAGCAGGUUAUCUCAUUUAUCACAUAUACCGACAUACAAGGGGAGCAGGUUAUCUCAUUUAUCACAUAUACCGACAUACAAGGGGAGCAGGUUAUCUCAUUUAUCACAUAUACCGACAUACAAGGGGAGCAGGUUAUCUCAUUUAUCACAUUUACCGACAUACAAGGGGAGCAGGUUAUCUCAUUUAUCACAUUUACCGACAUACAAGGGGAGCAGGUUAUCUCAUUUAUCACAUUUACCGACAUACAAGGGGAGCAGGUUAUCUCAUUUAUCACAUUUACCGACAUACCUCAUUUACCUCAUUUACUGACAUACAAAGGGUGCAGGAAGAAACUUUCAUAUUUCAAGCAAUUUUCAAAUUCAAAACAUACAUCAACAUUUACUUUUAAAAAGAUAAAAAAACAAACUCAGGUGGGACAUAUCGCGAUAGGCAGUCGACAAAGACAUGGUACUAUGUCGCAAUUCAUCCACCCUUUGUUUAUAAAUAAAUCCCGCGCAUGCGUAGAUUGGAUGGGAUGUCUUAGGAUACGUGGAUGGCAGAUGACCACACCGGGUAGGACACGUAGCAAUGGGUUUAAGUUGGAUAAGUUCAGGUUCAACAAAGACAUAGGCAAGAAUUGAUUUACCAACAGUGGUGGAUGAGUGGAACAGACAUAGAAGUCGUGUGGUGAGCGCCAACACGAUAGAUACAUUCAAGAAGAGGUUAGAUAAGUUCUUGGAUGGAAGGGGUAUGGGGCGUUAGUUUGGUGCUGUGCUCUGGGCGGCAUGUUGUGCUGUCUCACGAGACCUCCUUCCUCCUCCUCCUCUUGUUGCGGGAGGAGCCCGACGGGUGGGUGGGGGGGUGUCGAGGGAAGGCAAAGCCCUCCCCCCG